AUUUAAAUAGUUUAAAUAAAAUAUUGAUUUGUGAUAUCAAAGAUAAGAUAUAUUCUUUUUAAAUC
rnacentral:tRNA from 1 species